UUUCAGAUAGGAAAAGAAGUAGAUGAACACUUGAAAAGUACUGAAGAUGUCAACAAGCAUAUUGAAAUCGCUUCAGAAUACCAAUUACCUUCAAAUUCGGUCCAAGAUUUAUACACUGAGGAUUUGUCUGAAGUCGAAGAUGAUGACUUUCAGAUAGGAAAAGAAGUAGAUGAACACUUGAAAAGUACUGAAGAUGUCAACAAGCAUAUUGAAAUCGCUUCAGAAUACCAAUUACCUUCAAAUUCGGUCCCAGAUUUAUACACUGAGGAUUUGUCUGAAGUCGAAGAUAAUGACUUUCAGAUAGGAAAAGAAGUAGGUGAACACUUGAAAAGGACUGAAGAUGUCAACAAGCAUAUUGAAAUCGCUUCAGAAUACCAAUUACCUUCAAAUUCGGUCCCAGAUUUAUACACUGAGGAUUUGACUGAAGUCGAAG